UUAAGCAAAGUGGUUCUAGAGGGUGACAGGGUUGUAACUAUAAAUCGCAAAUUAAAUUCAAAUUGUAUCAAGAUCAAACGGAACCAAAUAGACUAUCUUUUCGUGCCCCACGUUGGGCGCCAGAAUUUGUAACGAAUGUAGUUGCUCCCGAACAAACAACAGCUUAAGCGCCACUCUCGAACGUCGAGAGACUGUUGAUGCGUGUUACCGUGCUCGGCUUUUGAGACUUGAAACAGGGCGGGUUAAGUAUAGUUCAAACACCCAAACUCAUUUUGGCUUUCCCAACAACUAAACGAAGCGCAUACAGAACAGACUCAAUUUUAUGACUGGAAAAUAUUUCUGGCUCUUAUUUUCAACUGACGUUAGUUAAACUAAUUUUACAAAAGGAAGGAAGCGUACCGGAAGCGUUCGGAAAGUAAAAGCCAAAACUUGGCAAACACCAGGCUUGGUCAGACCGCACCACGUGCAUCUUUGCACCCGCCAUCCGACAGCAAAUUCGGCUCUGUGUCGGCAAAAGGGCAAAUUCAGCCGGGAAAUUCGGCUUGAGAGGGGUCGAGGCGAGGAAAAGAUCGUUAAAAAGGGCG